AGUUUGAUCCGGGCCAGGACGAACCGCGGCGGCGCUAACAUGCAAUCGAGACAGAGCGCUCCCUGAUGUUAGCGGACGGGUGAGUAACACGUGGGUCGCCUGUAAGACUGGGAUAACUCCGGGAAACCGGGGUAAUACCGGAUGCUUGUUUGAACCGCAUGGUUCAAACAUAAAAGGUGGCUUCGGCUACCACUACAGAUGGACCCGCGGCGCAUUAGCUAGUUGGUGAGGUAACGGCUCACCAAGGCAACGAUGCGUAGCCGACCUGAGAGGGUGAUCGGCCACACUGGGACUGAGACACGGCCCAGACUCUGAGGCAGCAGUAGGGAAUCUUCCGCAAUGGACGAAAGCUGACGGAGCAACGCCGCGUGAGUGAUGAAGGUUUUCGGAUCGUAAAGCUCUGUUGUUAGGGAAGAACAAGUACCGUUCGAAUAGGGCGGUACCUUGACGGUACCUAACCAGAAAGCCACGGCUAACUACGUGCCAGCAGCCGGGUUAGUAGUCAAGCUGCCGGAAUUAUUGGGCGUAAAGGGCUCGCAGGCGGUUCCUUAAGUCUGAUGUGAAAGCCCCCGGUCAACCGGGGAGGGGAACUUGAGUGCAGAAGAGGAGAGUGGAAGAGAUGGAGGACCAGUGCGAAG
rnacentral:rRNA from 1 species